rnacentral:piRNA from 1 species
UACCAGUUGUGACAAUAAAGGGAUGGCCCUC